GAUUUACAUUUGAGUGAGUGGCGAACUGGUGAGUAACACGUGGGAAACCUGCCCAGAAGCGGGGGAUAACACCUGGAAACAGAUGCUAAUACCGCAUAACAACUUGGACCGCAUGGUCCGAGCUUGAAAGAUGGCUUCGGCUAUCACUUUUGGAUGGUCCCGCGGCGUAUUAGCUAGAUGGUGGGGUAACGGCUCACCAUGGCAAUGAUACGUAGCCGACCUGAGAGGGUAAUCGGCCACAUUGGGACUGAGACACGGCCCAAACUCCUACGGGAGGCAGCAGUAGGGAAUCUUCCACAAUGGACGAAAGUCUGAUGGAGCAACGCCGCGUGAGUGAAGAAGGGUUUCGGCUCGUAAAACUCUGUUGUUAAAGAAGAACAUAUCUGAGAGUAACUGUUCAGGUAUUGACGGUAUUUAACCAGAAAGCCACGGCUAACUACGUGCCAGCAGCCGCGGUAAUACGUAGGUGGCAAGCGUUGUCCGGAUUUAUUGGGCGUAAAGCGAGCGCAGGCGGUUUUUUAAGUCUGAUGUGAAAGCCUUCGGCUCAACCGAAGAAGUGCAUCGGAAACUGGGAAACUUGAGUGCAGAAGAGGACAGUGGAACUCCAUGUGUAGCGGUGAAAUGCGUAGAUAUAUGGAAGAACACCAGUGGCGAAGGCGGCUGUCUGGUCUGUAACUGACGCUGAGGCUCGAAAGUAUGGGUAGCAAACAGGAUUAGAUACCCUGGUAGUCCAUACCGUAAACGAUGAAUGCUAAGUGUUGGAGGGUUUCCGCCCUUCAGUGCUGCAGCUAACGCAUUAAGCAUUCCGCCUGGGGAGUACGGCCGCAAGGCUGAAACUCAAAGGAAUUGACGGGGGCCCGCACAAGCGGUGGAGCAUGUGGUUUAAUUCGAAGCUACGCGAAGAACCUUACCAGGUCUUGACAUACUAUGCAAAUCUAAGAGAUUAGACGUUCCCUUCGGGGACAUGGAUACAGGUGGUGCAUGGUUGUCGUCAGCUCGUGUCGUGAGAUGUUGGGUUAAGUCCCGCAACGAGCGCAACCCUUAUUAUCAGUUGCCAGCAUUAAGUUGGGCACUCUGGUGAGACUGCCGGUGACAAACCGGAGGAAGGUGGGGAUGACGUCAAAUCAUCAUGCCCCUUAUGACCUGGGCUACACACGUGCUACAAUGGAUGGUACAACGAGUUGCGAACUCGCGAGAGUAAGCUAAUCUCUUAAAGCCAUUCUCAGUUCGGAUUGUAGGCUGCAACUCGCCUACAUGAAGUCGGAAUCGCUAGUAAUCGCGGAUCAGCAUGCCGCGGUGAAUACGUUCCCGGGCCUUG
rnacentral:rRNA from 1 species